rnacentral:misc_RNA from 1 species
GAUGAAGAACGUAGCGAAAUGCGAUAAGUAGUGUGAAUUGCAGAAUUCAGUGAAUCAUCGAAUCUUUGAACGCACAUUGCGCCCCUUGGUAUUCCAUGGGGCAUGCCUGUUCGAGCGUCAUUUGUACCUUCAAGCUCUGCUUGGUGUUGGGUGUUUGUCUCGCCUCUGCGCGUAGACUCGCCUCAAAACAAUUGGCAGCCGGCGUAUUGAUUUCGGAGCGCAGUACAUCUCGCGCUUUGCACUCAUAACGACGACGUCCAAAAGUACAUUUUUACACUCUUGACCUCGGAUCAGGUAGGGAUACCUGCUGAACUUAAGCAUAUCAAUAAGCGGAGGA